GUGCUUCCUCCAGCAGCACAUACACUAAAUCAGAAUGACACAGAGAUUAGCAUGAUCCUGUGCAAGGGUGACAGGCAGAUUUGUGAAACGGUCCACAUUUUU